GAUGAAGAACGUAGCGAAAUGCGAUAAGUAGUGUGAAUUGCAGAAUUCAGUGAAUCAUCGAAUCUUUGAACGCACAUUGCGCCCCUUGGUAUUCCAUGGGGCAUGCCUGUUCGAGCGUCAUUUGUACCUUCAAGCCUUGCUUGGUGUUGGGUGUUUGUCUCGCCUCUGCGCGCAGACUCGCCUCAAAACAAUUGGCAGCCGGCGUAUUGAUUUCGGAGCGCAGUACAUCUCGCGCUUUGCACUCAGAACGACGACGUCCAAAAGUACAUUUUUACACUCUUGACCUCGGAUCAGGUAGGGAUACCCGCUGAACUUAAGCAUAUCGAUAAGCGGAGGA
rnacentral:misc_RNA from 1 species